GUGUUCUCAGGUCACCCCUG
rnacentral:snRNA from 1 species